rnacentral:rRNA from 1 species
GACGAACGCUGGCGGCGUGCUUAACACAUGCAAGUCGAACGGAAAGACCCUGCUUUUGUGGGGUGCUCGAGUGGCGAACGGGUGAGUAACACGUGAGUAACCUGCCCUUGACUUUGGGAUAACUUCAGGAAACUGGGGCUAAUACCGGAUAGGAGCUCCUGCUGCAUGGUGGGGGUUGGAAAGUUUCGGCGGUUGGGGAUGGACUCGCGGCUUAUCAGCUUGUUGGUGGGGUAGUGGCUUACCAAGGCUUUGACGGGUAGCCGGCCUGAGAGGGUGACCGGCCACAUUGGGACUGAGAUACGGCCCAGACUCCUACGGGAGGCAGCAGUGGGGAAUAUUGCACAAUGGGCGGAAGACUGAUGCAGCAACGCCGCGUGCGGGAUGACGGCCUUCGGGUUGUAAACCGCUUUCGCCUGUGACGAAGCGUGAGUGACGGUAAUGGGUAAAGAAGCACCGGCUAACUACGUG